GCCAGCAGCUCCUCUGGGGGAACAGCCACUGCCAGCUCGAGGGACCCAGCAAUGGAACACGUCCUGGAACCAGCAGCAAGCACAGAUGUGACAAACAAGUACAGACCUGCCUGUCUUCCUGUUGGGCUCGCAGAAAUCUGCAGACACAAAAGGCAGGAAACCAUGCUAGCUACAUUGGACACCUAUGGGAACGCAGACACCGGAUAGCCGGUGGGCCGACUCCUAAGGAUACAAACAGACGGGGCUGAGGGGGACAAUGUGAUGGCUUCCUUAGAAAUGCAAUCCGAGGAGGGGGAUGAAGUGCAAUUGCUGAUUUCACAUCCAUGCGCUGCUGAGCAAGGAGGACUCUGGAGGAUGGAGAGAAUGGAAAAGCGGUCCCUGGAAAGAGAGGCAGAGCGGGCAAGAGGACAGAGAAAGAGCACACAGGGGAAAAGGUUCCAGGAAGCAUGAUGAUGCUGCUGGAGCCCAAUGCCUGGAGAACGUGAUGCAGAGAGGGAGUUCCCUCGGCUAGGACACCCUCAGGUGGAACUGCCCACCAACACCAACAGCUAUGGACGUGGAAGGAGACUGGGACACAGCAACCUGAAAGAGCAAAACCAGGAAGGAGUGAGCUCAGCUGCAGCCUCCAUUCCCGAGACGCUGCAAUAGCCUCCCUGGACUCGAAGCACCCUGAGACUGUGCCCUGCCACUCACAGCCUGGCCUUGCCCCAAUCCCUUGCGCUCCAUGUACCUCCCAUGAACCCCUUGCCCCAGCUUCAGCCAUGUUCACUUGCUUGCCUGUCCCUGUCCUUGUCCCUAUGCCUGCAACCCUUUCAACUAUGACUGAGUAACUCCAUUGGACGUUGGGGACAAGAUGCUGUGUGAGGGUGGGCACUGGGGAAAAGGUACAAUAGCAGCACACACAACAGGCCAGAAGACACAGUACAUGGGGAUGAGGUACAGGCAGGGAGAUGGGGAAGGACCUCUGAGGGACAUAAGCCCAGGCUCUGGGGUGAGGCAUACACCAGCACAUUCCUCCCUCAAAAAGCAGUGGGGACAUGGCAAUGCAGAUGGUGGAGGUGGACAUCACAGGGCGGCAUUGGGCUGAGGGAAAACAUUGGAAGAACACCCUUGGGGGAGGGGGACACCAACACAGCACUCAGGUCAGUGAGCACAGCACACUGCAAGGGUAGGAUGGACCAAGUCGGUGGGGGGGGGGGGGCAUGCUUGUCCACACAGGGUGACACGACAAGACCCACCAGCAUACACAGACUAAUGCGACACGCACAAAAGGGGGGACAUUAGGGGAGGAGAGACUCAUGCGCUCACAAAGCCAUUGUCUUCAUCACGCUUUUUCCAUGGGCUGCUGCACCAUAUGGACCAUACUCACUGCAUACCCUACCAGUUAGCCUCAACUUCACAGGUUGAGGGCACAUGAAGGGGGAAAAGGGUCAGGGCACAAAAAACUAGACUCAGUCAGCUUCAAAACACUGACUUCAUUUAUUUCAGAAGUGUGCAGACUCAAAGCAAACCCGGAAAAGUACACAGGGGGGAAACUGGCAUCUGUAAGACUGAGGGCACGACAUCAGGAGGGGGCACUGAGUGGGCACCAGCGCAUUUUCGGGAAAGCAGAAGUGGGGCAGCUGGGGAAGAGAACCGGGAUGAUUUGCAGGAGUGUGGGGCGUGAAGACCAACAGCUAGUCCCUGUGCUGGCCAACACCAUACAACACUGCCAGCGCCAGUGCUUUUCAGUACAGACUUGCACUCUCCCUAACGUGCAGCAUCGGGACGCUUUCAGCCGCAUUCAUCGAACCUGCCUGGGGCAGGGUGG